GUUACAAAAGUUUGAUAUGUGUUUUUUUUUCUUUAUGGUCAUUCAACAAAGAAGAAGCCAUACACUUUACAGUAAGGUUUACGUGUUACUACUGAACUUUCCUUUACAGGAUUUGAUCUGUUUUUGUUCAUUCUUUGUUAGGGUUUAUUGGUUUUAUUUUGCUGCAGGCUUGGCUUGGUCACCUAUUAAUUUCAGGCCUGAAUUUGGUUUUAAUAGCUGAUCCAAAACGUUGAACAAAGGAGUUAAUUAGUCUGAGGAAUCAGAAUCAAAGGGGUGAUUCAUCAAGAUGGUCUACUCUUAUAUUAUACGAGAAAAUCUGAGUUCAAAUUUGAUGCGAUGAAAGCAGUCAAAGAAAGUCGGCAUGUGUGCGAUCUUCAAGGGAUAGAUGAUAUUUCCAUGGAUGUUUGAUGAGAUUCAUGGCUUGAAGUUGAAGCCAUUCAAAGUUGCCGCCAAGAAAGAGUAUUGGCCUCCAUUAUAUGAUGUUGCUACAUUGAAAAAUAACAAGGUGUAUGUCCCUGCAGCGGUAUACUAUGAAGUAAUGUAUGUAAUCUUGAAGCUUUUCAGAUUUCGGGUAUCAGACUUUGGGUAACAAAUUUGUAACAAAUGUUACUGGAAGACGAGUUCUUGAUCAUUUGUUGGGAAUGAUCAUCAAUGGGAAAAAAACCUCUUGUUUGACUCCUUGUCGUUUUUUUCUUUGUUCCCUGUUUUGAGAAUUAAGUGAGUAAUAAAAAGUCUUUCAAUUUUGA